rnacentral:rRNA from 1 species
GAUGAACGCUAGCGAUAGGCUUAACACAUGCAAGUCGAGGGGCAGCAUGGUCUUAGCUUGCUAAGGCUGAUGGCGACCGGCGCACGGGUGCGUAACGCGUAUGCAACUUGCCUCACAGAGGGGGAUAACCCGUCGAAAGACGGACUAAUACCGCGUACACUCUAUGUUGGGCAUCCAAUGUAGAGGAAAUGAAAUUCGCUGUGAGAUAGGCAUGCGUCCCAUUAGCUAGUUGGUGAGGUAACGGCUCACCAAGGCGACGAUGGGUAGGGGAACUGAGAGGUUGAACCCCCACACUGGUACUGGGACACGGACCAGACUCCUACGGGAGGCAGCAGUGAGGAAUAUUGGUCAAUGGGCGAGAGCCUGAACCAGCCAAGUCGCGUGAAGGAUGACUGUCUUAUGGAUUGUAAACUUCUUUUAUACGGGAAUAACAAGAGUCACGUGUGGCUCCCUGCAUGUACCGUAUGAAUAAGCAUCGGCUAACUCCGUG